UACGGGGGGAGCAAGCGUUGUUCGGAUUUACUGGGCGUAAAGGGCGCGUAGGCGGCCACCGCAAGUCGGUUGUGAAAUCUCUGGGCUUAACCCAGAAAAGUCAACCGAUACUGCGGGGCUAGAGUGCAGAAGGGGCAACUGGAAUUCUCGGUGUAGCGGUGAAAUGCGUAGAUAUCGAGAGGAACACCUGCGGCGAAGGCGGGUUGCUGGGCUGACACUGACGCUGAUGCGCGAAAGCUAGGGGAGCGAACGGG
rnacentral:rRNA from 1 species